GGAUGAACGCUGGCGGCGUGCCUAACACAUGCAAGUCGAACGGAACUUCUUCGACAGAAUUCUUCGGAAGGAAGUUGAUUAAGUUUAGUGGCGGACGGGUGAGUAACGCGUGAGUAACCUGCCUUUGAGAGGGGAAUAACUUCCCGAAAGGGAUGCUAAUACCGCAUGAUGCAUAUUUAUCGCAUGGUAGAUGUGCCAAAGAUUUAUCGCUCAAAGAUGGACUCGCGUCCGAUUAGCCAGUUGGCGGGGUAACGGCCCACCAAAGCGACGAUCGGUAGCCGGACUGAGAGGUUGAACGGCCACAUUGGGACUGAGACACGGCCCAGACUCCUACGGGAGGCAGCAGUGGGGGAUAUUGCGCAAUGGGGGAAACCCUGACGCAGCAACGCCGCGUGAAGGAUGAAGGUUUUCGGAUUGUAAACUUCUUUUAUUUAGGACGAACAAUGACGGUACUAAAUGAAUAAGCUCCGGCUAACUACGUGCCAGCAGCCGCGGUAAUACGUAGGGAGCAAGCGUUAUCCGGAUUUACUGGGUGUAAAGGGUGCGUAGGCGGCUUGGUAGGUCAGAUGUGAAAUGUAUGGGCUCAACCCAUGCACUGCAUUUGAAACUAUUGAGCUUGAGUGAAGUAGAGGUAGGCGGAAUUCCCUGUGUAGCGGUGAAAUGCGUAGAGAUAGGGAGGAACACCAGUGGCGAAGGCGGCCUACUGGGCUUUAACUGACGCUGAGGCACGAAAGCGUGGGUAGCAAACAGGAUUAGAUACCCUGGUAGUCCACGCUGUAAACGAUGAUUACUAGGUGUGGGGGGUCUGACCCCUUCCGUGCCGGAGUUAACACAAUAAGUAAUCCACCUGGGGAGUACGACCGCAAGGUUGAAACUCAAAUGAAUUGACGG
rnacentral:rRNA from 1 species